CAUAAGCUUUUUAAUGGAUUUUUGGGCCUUGGUGGUGGUUCGCCGCAAGGUGUAUACUGCCACUAGAGCCCAUCCUCUCGAAAACGGGGCGUGCUCUUUACCGAGUGCGUCUUGGACUCGAGACUUUUACUUUGAAAAAAUUAGAGUGUUCAAAGCAGGCUUACGCUUGAAUAAUUCAGCAGCGAAUAAUGGAAUAGGACUUUGGUCUUAUUUUGUUGGUUUCUAGGACCGAAGUAAUGAUUAAUAGGGACAGUUGGGGGCAUUAGUAUUUAAUUGUCAGAGGUGAAAUUCUUGGAUUUAUGAAAGACAAACUUCUGCGAAAGCAUUUGCCAAGGAUGUUUUCAUUAAUCAAGAACGAAAGUUAGGGGAUCGAAGACGAUCAGAUACCGUCGUAGUCUUAACCAUAAACUAUGCGUACAGUUUACCCUCGGU
rnacentral:rRNA from 1 species